rnacentral:rRNA from 1 species
GAUGAACGCUGGCGGCGUGCCUAAUACAUGCAAGUCGAGCGAACGGACGAGAAGCUUGCUUCUCUGAUGUUAGCGGCGGACGGGUGAGUAACACGUGGAUAACCUACCUAUAAGACUGGGAUAACUUCGGGAAACCGGAGCUAAUACCGGAUGAUAUUUUGAACCGCAUGGUUCAAAAGUGAAAGACGGUCUUGCUGUCACUUAUAGAUGGAUCCGCGCUGCAUUAGCUAGUUGGUAAGGUAACGGCUUACCAAGGCAACGAUGCAUAGCCGACCGGAGAGGGUGAUCGCCCACACUGGAACUGAGCCACGGUCCAGACUCCUACGGGAGGCAGCAGUAGGGAAUCUUCCGCAAUGGGCGAAAGCCUGACGGAGCAACGCCGCGUGAGUGAUGAAGGUCUUCGGAUCGUAAAACUCUGUUAUUAGGGAAGAACAUAUGUGUAAGUAACUGUGCACAGCUUGACGGUACCUAAUCAGAAAGCCACGGCUAACUACGUG